rnacentral:rRNA from 1 species
CCAGACUCCUACGGGAGGCAGCAGUGGGGGAUAUUGCACAAUGGGGGAAACCCUGAUGCAGCGACGCCGCGUGGGUGAAGAAGCGCCUCGGCGCGUAAAGCCCUGUCAGCAGGGAAGAAAAUGACGGUACCUGAAGAAGAAGCUCCGGCUAACUACGUGCCAGCAGCCGCGGUAAUACGUAGGGAGCAAGCGUUGUCCGGAAUUACUGGGUGUAAAGGGAGCGUAGGCGGGGAUGCAAGUUGGGUGUCAAAACUAUCGGCUCAACCGAUAGUCGCACUCAAAACUGCAGCUCUUGAGUGAAGUAGAGGCAGGCGGAAUUCCUAGUGUAGCGGUGAAAUGCGUAGAUAUUAGGAGGAACACCAGUGGCGAAGGCGGCCUGCUGGGCUUUUACUGACGCUGAGGCUCGAAAGUGUGGGGAGCAAACAGGAUUAGAUACCCGAGUA